rnacentral:snRNA from 1 species
AUCGCUUCUCGGCCUUUUGGCUAAGAUCAAGUGUAAAACUUGCAGUGUUUAUUUUUCCCACUAAAUGUUAAUUAUUGAGAUUUUAAAUAAGCAGUUAUAUUAAUCAUAGACUCUCAUAGAGCUCUUAGGAAAGGCAAUACUUUGCUAUCUGUUACAUAUCCC